UACGUAGGUGGCAAGCGUUGUUCGGAAUUAUUGGGCGUAAAGGGCGCGUAGGCGGUCUUGUAAGUCAGCUGUGAAAGCCCGGGGCUCAACCCCGGAGGGUCGGCUGAUACUGCAGGACUGGAGUACGGAAGAGGUAGCUGGAAUUCCUGGUGUAGCGGUGAAAUGCGCAGAUAUCAGGAGGAACACCGGUGGCGAAGGCGGAUCUCUGGGCCAUUACUGACGCUGAGGAGCGAAAGCGUGGGGAGCGAACAGG
rnacentral:rRNA from 1 species